GAUCCGGUGGCCUAGUGGUUAGAGCAUCCAGCUCGGAUGCAGACGGUCGCGGGUUCAAACCCCGACCGAGUCA